GACCCAGUGUGGUAUAGUGGUUUGAGUGUUGGACUAUCAGUCUAGAGACCAGGAUUCAAAUCUCUGCUUGGUCA